GCCUACGGGGCGCAGCAGUAGGGAAUUUUCGUCAAUGGGCGCAAGCCUGAACGAGCAAUGCCGCGUGAACGAGGAAGGUCUUAGGAUCGUAAAGUUCUGUUGAAGGGGAAAAAGAGCGGAGAGAGGAAAUGGUCUCCGAUUGAUAUUACCCUUCGAGGAAGUCACGGCUAACUACGUGCCAGCAGCCGCGGUAAUACGUAGGUGGCGAGCGUUAUCCGGAAUGAUUGGGAGUAAAGGGUGCGUAGGCCGCCUGCGAAGUCUGGAGUGAAAGGUACCGGCUCAACCGGUACAGGCUCUGGAAACUG
rnacentral:rRNA from 1 species